GGUGACAACGACCAAAAGAGGUUACCCACUGGAGGACGCUACACACAUUGCUUUCAGAACUGUGCGCAGGUUCCUGGAGAAUCAUGGGAACAGCCUGGAGGCGGUGGUGUUCGCAGUGUCAGACACUGAGGAGCCGGUGUUCAAGAAGUUGCUGCCACUUUACUUCCCUCGCUCUGAGGAAGAGGAGCGAGCCAGCCUUCCUCUCAUCCCCGCUGACAUCGGCAACUCUGAGGGGGAACCGGUCGUCCCCGAGAGACAGAUCCGCAUCGCAGAGAAACCCGGCACCCUGGA